rnacentral:rRNA from 1 species
GAUUGAAUGGCUUAGUGAGGUCUCCGGAUUAGCUUUGGCGCACCGGCAACGGAAUGCUAUUGCUGAGAAGUUGAUCAAACUUGGUCAUUUAGAGGAAGUAAAAGUCGUAACAAGGUUUCCGUAGGUGAACCUGCGGAAGGAUCAUUAUUGAAAUAAACCUGAUGGGUUGUUGCUGGUUCUCUAGGGAGCAUGUGCACGCCUUGUCAUCUUUAUAUCUCCACCUGUGCACUUUUUGUAGACCUUUCAGGUCUAUGUUGCUUCAUUUACCCCAAUGUAUGUUAAUAGAAUGUUGUGCCUAUAUAAUAUAUACAACUUUCAGCAACGGAUCUCUUGGCUCUCGCAUCGAUGAAGAACGCAGCGAAAUGCGAUAAGUAAUGUGAAUUGCAGAAUUCAGUGAAUCAUCGAAUCUUUGAACGCACCUUGCGCUCCUUGGUAUUCCGAGGAGCAUGCCUGUUUGAGUGUCAUUAAUAUAUAUAUCAAACUUCUCUUGUUGAGUGGUUUGGAUGUGGGGGUUUGCUGGCCUCUGUAAAAGGGGUUCAGCUCCUCUGAAAUGCAUUAGNCAGAACAACCUGUUCAUUGGUGUGAUAACUAUCUACGCUAUUGAAUGAGAGGGGCAGUUCAGCUCUCUAACAGUCCUUGGACAAUUCAUCAUUAAUGUGACCUCAAAUCAGGUAGGACUACCCGCUGAACUUAAGCAUAUCAAUAAGCGGAGGAAAAGAAACUAACAAGGAUUCCCCUAGUAACUGCGAGUGAAGCGGGAAAAGCUCAAAUUUAAAAUCUGGCGGUCUUUUGGCUGUCCGAGUUGUAAUCUAGAGAAGUGUUAUCCGCGCUGGACCGUGUACAAGUCUCCUGGAAUGGAGCAUCAUAGAGGGUGAGAAUCCCGUCUUUGACAUGGACUGCCAGGGCUUUGUGAUGCGCUCUC